rnacentral:rRNA from 1 species
UGCGUAGGCGGGCUAAUAAGUCAGUGGUGAAAUCUCUCGGCUCAACCGGGAAACUGCCAUUGAUACUGUUAGUCUUGAGUUCGGUUGAGGUAGGCGGAAUGUGUAAUGUAGCGGUGAAAUGCAUAGAUAUUACACAGAACACCAAUUGCGUAGGCAGCUUACUAGACCGACACUGACGCUGAGGCACGAAAGCGUGGGGAGCGAACAGGAUUAGAUACCCUGGUAGUCC